rnacentral:rRNA from 1 species
UACGAAGGGGGCUAGCGUUGUUCGGAAUCACUGGGCGUAAAGGGCGCGUAGGCGGCUUUGUAAGUCGGGGGUGAAAGCCUGUGGCUCAACCACAGAAUUGCCUUCGAUACUGCAUGGCUUGAGACCGGAAGAGGUAAGUGGAACUGCGAGUGUAGAGGUGAAAUUCGUAGAUAUUCGCAAGAACACCAGUGGCGAAGGCGGCUUACUGGUCCGGUUCUGACGCUGAGGCG